rnacentral:rRNA from 1 species
UUGACGGGACCGCACAAGCGGUGGAUGAUGUGGAUUAAUUCGAUGCAACGCGAAAACCUUACCUACCCUUGACAUGUCCGGAAUCCCGAAGAGAUUUGGGAGUGCUCGCAAGAGAACCGGAACACAGGUGCUGCAUGGCUGUCGUCAGCUCGUGUCGUGAGAUGUUGGGUUAAGUCCCGCAACGAGCGCAACCCUUGUCAUUAGUUGCCAUCAUUUGGUUGGGCACUCUAAUGAGACUGCCGGUGACAAACCGGAGGAAGGUGGGGAUGACGUCAAGUCCUCAUGGCCCUUAUGGGUAGGGCUUCACACGUCAUACAAUGGUCGGUACAGAGGGUUGCCAACCCGCGAGGGGGAGCUAAUCCCACAAAGCCGAUCGUAGUCCGGAUCGCAGUCUGCAACUCGACUGCGUGAAGUCGGAAUCGCUAGUAAUCGUGGAUCAGCAUGUCACGGUGAAUACGUUCCCGGGUCUU